AUAUAUAUAUAUAUAUAUAUAGGGUGUGGUUCUAGAGAGAACUACAUUAUUUGUGAGAACGGGAGAACCAUCAAAUCUAAUGCAUCCACUGUAAAAAUUAAUGCAUUCGCUGUUAAAAUUAAUGCACUAAAAAAAUUAAAAAAAAAAUGCUCCCUUCAGGAUUCGAACCCAGGAUCUGCAUUCAUCCAACAAGAUGAUGCAUCCACCGUAGAUCUUGAUGAUCGAAUGGCUGAAAAUGGUUCUCCGGUCUUCUUUUAUUUAUGGUUCUUUCUUGAACCUCUCCCUAUAUAUAUAUAUAUAUAUAUAGAGCUCCUCUUGGGUUCACA
rnacentral:lncRNA from 1 species